AGUCUCCUAGGAACACCCAGGGAAUUAUUGAACGAAUCAAAGAGCACACAAAGGGGCCAGCUGCCAAGACUUUUCCCUGGAAAGGGUCGCUUUGGAGGCCGUGGCCAGGCGUGUUUACCUUGAUGUGGGUCAUGAAUCUUACAGCAAGAGUCGCUAGCAGGAAGGGAAAGUUUUGGAAACCGGAUGUUUCUCUGUAAAGGAGCCAGCCCUACCUGCCACGGCAGCAACUUCACAAACAAACAAGGCAUAGGCGGAAGUCAGCGAGACACCUGGCCUGAGCCUCUGUCCUUGAGAGUUCCAGACAAACUCGGCACCUAGGAGCCCAGGAGCCCACACCACCUGAAGUCCCGCCCACUUCCCGGGCCAUCGUGAAGCAGCCAAGUGUGACGUGAAGCUCAUUCCCAGUGUGCCCCCCCCCCGCAUCUGCCGCAUUAUAGGAAUCGCGUCGAUGGCUCUCAACCUUCCUAACGCUUCCAGCCUUUAACACAGCUCCUUGUGUUGUGGUGACCCCAACCAUAAAAUCAUUUUCAUUCUU